UAAGCCAACUAAUGAACAACGUCUUGUCGUUCAAACUUUAAGUGAGGUCGAUAUUGUGAAUGAUGGAUACCGUUGGCGCAAAUAUGGGCAGAAAUUGGUUAAAGGCAAUCCAAAUCCAAGGAGCUACUACAGGUGCUCCAGUCCUGGAUGCCCCGUUAAGAAACAUGUAGAGAGGGCAUCUCAUGACCCAAAAGUGGUUAUAACCAGUUACGAGGGACAACAUGAUCACGAUGUACCUCCUUCAAGGACAGUAACUCAUAAUGCAACUGGUCUAAGCACAUAUACUACUAACAUCCACAUUGGUGAAUCAGGCGUUAAAUCAGGAGGGAGUGAUGGGAUUGUUCACAAGAGUUUGGAUCCAAGUGGAAACUCAGAGGAGCAAC
rnacentral:misc_RNA from 1 species